CCCCAGCUGUCUUAUAACGAUUAGAUUAUAUAUACGCCUAGUUCGACCCCCUCACCCUUUUUUGAAUUGAAUCUCUAUUUUUUGUUUAAUUCCCUGGUAAUUGUUUUAAUUUAUUUAUACUUUUUGAUUGUUAUGAAAACUUUUCCAAAAUUUCUUUGGAUUUUUAUCUUUCUGUUCCUUAAGUAGAUUAUCGCGAGCCAUACAUACUUUGUCGCGGUCUAAAAUCCUAUUUUCAUAACUAGUCAAUGAUGCCCUUCCAUGGAUUCACCUAUAUACGCC
rnacentral:lncRNA from 1 species